rnacentral:rRNA from 1 species
CCAAUAGCGUAUAUUAAAGUUGUUGCAGUUAAAAAGCUCGUAGUUGAAUUUCGGGAUCAAUUAAUUGGUCGUGCCUCUGGUACGCACUGGUUUUAUUGGUUUCUCCCUUCUGACGAACCACGAUGUCAUUAAUUUGGUGUCGUGGAGAAUCAGGACUGUUACUUUGAAAAAAUUAGAGUGUUUAAAGCAGGCUAACGCUUGAAUACAUUAGCAUGGAAUA